AGAGUUUGAUCAUGGCUCAGAUUGAACGCUGGCGGCAGGCUUAACACAUGCAAGUCGAGCGGUAACAGAGAGUAGCUUGCUACUUUGCUGACGAGCGGCGGACGGGUGAGUAAUGCUUGGGAAUAUGCCUUAUGGUGGGGGACAACAGUUGGAAACGACUGCUAAUACCGCAUAACGUCUACGGACCAAAGGGGGGGAUCUUCGGACCUCUCGCCAUCUUGAUUAGCCCAAGUGAGAUUAGCUAGUUGGUGAGGUAAUGGCUCACCAAGGCGACGAUCUCUAGCUGGUUUGAGAGGAUGAUCAGCCACACUGGGACUGAGACACGGCCCAGACUCCUACGGGAGGCAGCAGUGGGGAAUAUUGCACAAUGGGCGAAAGCCUGAUGCAGCCAUGCCGCGUGUGUGAAGAAGGCCUUCGGGUUGUAAAGCACUUUCAGUUGUGAGGAAAGGUGAGUAGUUAAUAGCUGCGAGCUGUGACGUUAACAACAGAAGAAGCACCGGCUAACUUCGUGCCAGCAGCCGCGGUAAUACGAGGGGUGCAAGCGUUAAUCGGAAUUACUGGGCGUAAAGCGUUCGUAGGCGGUUUAUUAAGCAAGAUGUGAAAGCCCAGGGCUCAACCUUGGAACUGCAUUUUGAACUGGGUAACUAGAGUACUGUAGAGGGUGGUGGAAUUUCCAGUGUAGCGGUGAAAUGCGUAGAGAUUGGAAGGAACAUCAGUGGCGAAGGCGGCCACCUGGACAGAUACUGACGCUGAGGAACGAAAGCGUGGGGAGCGAACAGGAUUAGAUACCCUGGUAGUCCACGCCGUAAACGAUGUCAACUAGCCGUUUGUGGACUUGAUCCGUGAGUGGCGCAGCUAACGCACUAAGUUGACCGCCUGGGGAGUACGGCCGCAAGGUUAAAACUCAAAUGAAUUGACGGGGGCCCGCACAAGCGGUGGAGCAUGUGGUUUAAUUCGAUGCAACGCGAAGAACCUUACCAUCCCUUGACAUCCACAGAAGAGACCAGAGAUGGACUUGUGCCUUCGGGAACUGUGUGACAGGUGCUGCAUGGCUGUCGUCAGCUCGUGUUGUGAAAUGUUGGGUUAAGUCCCGCAACGAGCG
rnacentral:rRNA from 1 species